UAAUGAUAGAGGAGCACUUUAUUAUCAGUAGUGUGGCGCAUUUUCAGAACAUCCGUGUGUUCGGUCGCAUGAAAGGAAUGAGUGCCGAAGGGCGGUAUAUACGGUAAUCUGUCCCUGGUCAGGCGGAAUAAUAUCCGACCGAUUGUCGCUUUAUUGCGGAGAGCUAUUGA
rnacentral:ncRNA from 1 species